rnacentral:rRNA from 1 species
UACGUAGGGGGCCAGGCGUUGCUCGGAAUUACUGGGUGUAAAGGGUUCGUAGGCGGUGUGGCAAGUCGGGAGUGAAAUCUCUUGGGCUCAACCCAGAGUCUGCUUCCGAAACUGCUGUGCUUGAGUGUGGGAGAGGCGCGUGGAAUUGCAGGUGUAGCGGUGAAAAUGGCGUAGAUAUCUGCAGGAACACCCGUGGCGAAAGCGGCGCGCUGGACCACUACUGACGCUGAGGAACGAAAGCUAGGGGAGCAAACAGG